rnacentral:tRNA from 1 species
GCCCACGUAGCUCAGUUGGUAGAGCGCGUCCUUGGUAAGGACGAGGUCACCGGUUCAAGUCCGGUCGCGGGCUCCA